UGGGGAAUAUUGCGCAAUGGGGGGAACCCUGACGCAGCCAUGCCGCGUGAAUGAAGAAGGCCUUCGGGUUGUAAAGUUCUUUCGGUGAUGAGGAAGGCAGUUUGGUUAAUAGCCAAGUUGAUUGACGUUAGUCACAGAAGAAGCACCGGCUAACUCCGUGCCAGCAGCCGCGGUAAUACGGAGGGUGCGAGCGUUAAUCGGAAUAACUGGGCGUAAAGGGCACGCAGGCGGAUUUUUAAGUGAGGUGUGAAAGCCCUGGGCUUAACCUGGGAAUUGCAUUUCAGACUGGGAAUCUAGAGUACUUUAGGGAGGGGUAGAAUUCCACGUGUAGCGGUGAAAUGCGUAGAGAUGUGGAGGAAUACCGAAGGCGAAGGCAGCCCCUUGGGAAUGUACUGACGCUCAUGUGCGAAAGCGUGGGGAGCAAACAGG
rnacentral:rRNA from 1 species